rnacentral:tRNA from 1 species
GGGAUAGCUCAGCUGGU